CCGCGGUAAUACGAAGGGGGCUAGCGUUGUUCGGAAUUACUCGGCGUAAAGGGCGCGUAGGCGGUCCUGAUCGUCGGAUGUGAAAGGCCUGGGCUCAACCUGGGAACUGCAUCCGAUACGGCGGGACUGGAGUGUGGGAGAGGUUGGUGGAAUUCCCAGUGUAGAGGUGAAAUUCGUAGAUAUUGGGAAGAACACCGGUGGCGAAGGCGGCCAACUGGACCACAACUGACGCUGAGGCGCGAAAGCGUGGGGAGCAAACAGG
rnacentral:rRNA from 1 species